AUCCCAGAUAAUAGUUCUUGUGAUUAUCUGAUUCAUGAGGGGCAAAGAAUAAGAAUGCGGAGUUCGCUGAUAGAGUCUUUAAUUUCGGAAAAGGGUGCUUUGAUGAUAGUACCUCACCGCACACCA